CCUACGGGCGGCUGCAGUAGGGAAUCUUCCGCAAUGGACGAAAGUCUGACGGAGCAAUACCGCGUGAGUGAUGAAGGUCUUCGGAUCGUAAAACUCUGUUGUUAGGGAAGAACAAGUGCUAAUCUAAUACAUUAGUGCCCUGACGGUACCUAACCAGAAAGCCCCGGCUAACUACGUGCCAGCAGCCGCGGUAAUACGUAGGGGGCAAGCGUUGUCCGGAAUUAUUGGGCGUAAAGGGCGCGCAGGCGGCCUCUUAAGUCUGAUGUGAAAUCUUGUGGCUUAACCACAAGCGGUCAUUGGAAACUGAGAAGCUUGAGUGCAGAAGAGGAGAGUGGAAUUCCACGUGUAGCGGUGAAAUGCGUAGAGAUGUGGAGGAACACCAGUGGCGAAGGCGACUCUCUGGUCUGUAACUGACGCUGAGGCGCGAAAGCGUGGGGA
rnacentral:rRNA from 1 species